rnacentral:rRNA from 1 species
AAAUUGAAGAGUUUGAUCAUGGCUCAGAUUGAACGCUGGCGGCAGGCCUAACACAUGCAAGUCGAACGGUAGCACAGAGAGCUUGCUCUCGGGUGACGAGUGGCGGACGGGUGAGUAAUGUCUGGGAAACUGCCCGAUGGAGGGGGAUAACUACUGGAAACGGUAGCUAAUACCGCAUAACGUCGCAAGACCAAAGUGGGGGACCUUCGGGCCUCACACCAUCGGAUGUGCCCAGAUGGGAUUAGCUAGUAGGUGGGGUAACGGCUCACCUAGGCGACGAUCCCUAGCUGGUCUGAGAGGAUGACCAGCCACACUGGAACUGAGACACGGUCCAGACUCCUACGGGAGGCAGCAGUGGGGAAUAUUGCACAAUGGGCGCAAGCCUGAUGCAGCCAUGCCGCGUGUAUGAAGAAGGCCUUCGGGUUGUAAAGUACUUUCAGCGAGGAGGAAGGCGUUGUGGUUAAUAACCACAGCGAUUGACGUUACUCGC